UAAGAGUGAAGAAACAAACACUGAUCUCUGUUCUGUUCAUGAAAAAAGAUCAGAAGCCAAGCACAGCAGCGUGUCUAUGAAGAAUGACCCAUCUAGGAAUAAUUCAUUGUAGUUUAAGAGUGGAGAUACAAAGACUUCAGGAAUUUCAGGCAUGACAUCCUCAAC